CAGGUCAAGAGCGAGAACACGCAUGGUGUUGAUAACUAACUGGCGCCAAAGGGGUGAUCAGCCCGGGUUUAAGUAUUGCUGGAUGACUCUAAUAGAUGAG